GAGGCUUCCUGAUAAACAAACCAGAUCUACUGUGCCACAGAGCAAACUGAACCAGGUUUUCAAGCAUCACUCUGUCUUUGUGGACAGGGAACUCACUAAAACAAACUCUGAGAGCAAGCCAAAGAAGGAAAACUGCAGGACCCGCAGGGGAUCUUCACCCAUAUGUUCAAGCUAAUAGGGUAGGAUCAAUCUGAGAAAACAAGUCCUUGGAUGCUGGUUCAUUCAAUUGUUGUACUUUUCCCUCUACCAAUUGUGAAUUAUCUGUUAGAUUGAAGCAACACAUAUCUUUAAAUUCUUCACAGCCACUUCCUGAGAUUCAUGCCCUCCAGUGCUGCCUGUUGACCUCUUCUUCAAACACAGGACUUCGAGGAAUCUUCACAAUGGCCAAGCCACUCUGGACCUCCAUGGUCAUGAAAACUAGUCAUGCCCCCAUCAGAGUUUACAGUGAUGCAUUUUUUUCACAGAUGAACCAUAUUCUGUUAAGACCAGAACUUUUUGCAGGUACUUACCAGUUCUUAUGAAGCUCUUACCUGGGAAAGAUUCUCAUGCCUAGGAUGAGACAUGGAAUACAUGAAAGAGCAAGAAAACUGUCACCCCUCUCAGAUAAUCAUCCUAUGAUCAAGACACUGCCUGGUGCCAGAGGAGUCCACAUUUCAAGUUUCUGUUCUGCAAGAUGUCUGAAUGUCAGAAUCCUGCAUCCCAGGCAAGCUUUCUGGCCACCAAACUAUCAGUUAUUCUGAAGAACAGCUUCCUCUGUCUCUCUGUUGGACCCGUUUCACUUUGUAUAAAAAAUUAAACAUUAAUUGGAACAA